rnacentral:tRNA from 1 species
GCGUCUGUAGCUCAGUGGAUAGAGCACUGGCCUCCGAAGCCAGUGGUCGCAGGUUCGAUUCCUGCCAGACGCGCCA